GUUUGAAUGAUGAUUUUAUUUCUUUUGUCGGAUACCCCUUCACUCUUCAAUGAGUGAGAUCCCUCUUCUGACAGAC
rnacentral:snoRNA from 1 species